rnacentral:rRNA from 1 species
UCUUAUGGGUGGCGAGUGGCGGACGGGUGAGGAAUACAUCGGAAUCUACCUUUUCGUGGGGGAUAACGUAGGGAAACUUACGCUAAUACCGCAUACGACCUUCGGGUGAAAGCAGGGGACCUUCGGGCCUUGCGCGGAUAGAUGAGCCGAUGUCGGAUUAGCUAGUUGGCGGGGUAAAGGCCCACCAAGGCGACGAUCCGUAGCUGGUCUGAGAGGAUGAUCAGCCACACUGGAACUGAGACACGGUCCAGACUCCUACGGGAGGCAGCAGUGGGGAAUAUUGGACAAUGGGCGCAAGCCUGAUCCAGCCAUACCGCGUGGGUGAAGAAGGCCUUCGGGUUGUAAAGCCCUUUUGUUGGGAAAGAAAAGCAGUCGAUUAAUACUCGGUUGUUCUGACGGUACCCAAAGAAUAAGCACCGGCUAACUUCGUGCCAGCAGCCGCGGUAAUACGAAGGGUGCAAGCGUUACUCGGAAUUACUGGGCGUAAAGCGUGCGUAGGUGGUUGUUUAAGUCUGUUGUGAAAGCCCUGGGCUCAACCUGGGAAUUGCAGUGGAUACUGGGCGACUAGAGUGUGGUAGAGGGUAGUGGAAUUCCCGGUGUAGCAGUGAAAUGCGUAGAGAUCGGGAGGAACAUCCAUGGCGAAGGCAGCUACCUGGACCAACACUGACACUGAGGCACGAAAGCGUGGGGAGC